GGGGUGUUAGCUCAGCUGGUUAGAGCGCCGGCCUGUCACGUCGGAGGUCGCGGGUUCGAGUCCCGUACAUCCCGCCA
rnacentral:tRNA from 1 species